UACGUAGGGGGCAAGCGUUGUCCGGAAUCAUUGGGCGUAAAGCGCGCGUAGGCGGCCCGGUCAGUCCGUUGUGAAAGUCAAAGGCUCAACCUUUGAAUGCCGACGGAUACUGCCGGGCUAGAGUCCGGAAGAGGCGAGUGGAAUUCCUGGUGUAGCGGUGGAAUGCGCAGAUAUCAGGAGGAACACCGGUGGCGAAGGCGGGUCUCUGGGCCGAUACUGACGCUGAGGAGCGAAAGCGUGGGGAGCAAACAGG
rnacentral:rRNA from 1 species